rnacentral:rRNA from 1 species
UACGAAGGGGGCUAGCGUUGCUCGGAAUCACUGGGCGUAAAGCGCACGUAGGCGGACUCUUAAGUCGGUGGUGAAGUCCUGGAGCUCAACUCCAGAACUGCCUUCGAUACUGAGAGUCUCGGGUCCGGGAGAGGUGAGUGGAACUGCGAGUGUAGAGGUGAAAUUCGUAGAUAUUCGCAAGAACACCAGUGGCGAAGGCGGCUCACUGGCCCGGUACUGACGCUGAGGUGCGAAAGCGUGGGGAGCAAACAGG